rnacentral:rRNA from 1 species
GUCUACAGCCACACCACCCUGAACACGCCCGAUCUCUGCUGAUCUUGGAACCUAAGCAGGGUCGGGUCUGGUCAGUACUUGGAGGGGAGCUAUCACACUUAAGCAAUAUAUAUGUAAAAAAUAAGAAGUUGGACU